rnacentral:rRNA from 1 species
ACUCCUACGGGAGGCAGCAGUGGGGAAUAUUGGACAAUGGGCGAAAGCCUGAUCCAGCAAUGCCGCGUGUGUGAAGAAGGCCUGCGGGUUGUAAAGCACUUUUGUCGGGAAAGAAAUCACAGGGUUAAUACCCCUGUGCCUUGACGGUACCCCGAAGAAUAAGCACCGGCUAACUCCGUGCCAGCAGCCGCGGUAAUACGGAGGGUGCAAGCGUUAAUCGGAAUUACUGGGCGUAAAGCGAGUGUAGGUGGCUAUGUAAGUCGGAUGUGAAAUCCCCGGGCUCAACCUGGGAACUGCAUUCGAUACUGCAUGGCUAGAGUCUGAUAGAGGGAAGUGGAAUUCCAGGUGUAGCGGUGAAAUGCGUAGAUAUCUGGAAGAACACCAGUGGCGAAGGCGGCUUCCUGGAUCAAGGACUGACACUGAGGCUCGAAAGCGUGGGGAG